GAUCCUGGCUCAGAUUGAACGCUGGCGGCAGGCCUAACACAUGCAAGUCGAACGGUAACAGGAAGCAGCUUGCUGCUUUGCUGACGAGUGGCGGACGGGUGAGUAAUGUCUGGGAAACUGCCCGAUGGAGGGGGAUAACUACUGGAAACGGUAGCUAAUACCGCAUAACGUCGCAAGACCAAAGAGGGGGACCUUAGGGCCUCUUGCCGUCGGAUGUGCCCAGAUGGGAUUAGCUAGUAGGUGGGUAAAGG
rnacentral:rRNA from 1 species